UGCAAAGCCUUUCCCCUGGGAGAGAGCCAGCCUUCUUUUUUUCUCCCAAAUCCACAAGUGUCCAUACCUCUUGCAGUUUUACAGAGGGCUGAACAGUCUCUUCAACUGGGACAGGAAUUUGGAGCGUCUCUUAACCUCUUUUGGAAAGAGGGUGGUGGAUGGGAAAGCAAUGGUGCCAGUGUCAAGGUUUUUGUAAACUGAGUUUGUCAUACCAGAGAUCUUCUCUCACAUUUUGUCCCUGUGACUUUGCAGUUUGGAGGUGAAGGGAAAGAAUGGUGAAGCUCUGGAUGCUGGGACUAUAAUGGUCAGGAGGAAAGGAGUAAGAAAGCAAAGGAGAAAGAGUUGGGAUUUAGUGCAGACCACCAAGACGGGAGAAAAAUCCUCCCUGCCCAGCCCAGUGGGAAAGGCAUCCCAUGGAAGGCAGGCUCACUGUGAGCUGAGGGUGGUGUGUGACAGAACAGAAAAUCCCUCUUUACAAUGGUCUUACCCAAGUGAAAACAGUCCUCUGAAGAUCUGUCUGGAUGCUGCAGAAUAUCCUCCACAAACUCAUCAUGCUGGGCCUGGGAUUGCACUGGAUGAGUUCAAGAGUAUUUGGCUGAGUUAGAUACUGGGAGAGAAAACAGUGCUCUGUCUUUGAGGCAAAGCUGAAGGUGCUCCUCAGGACAUCAAAAUUUUAACACUGAGUGGCAGUGCCAGGCCAAGGAAUUGUGUAGGUUCAUUAUUUGUGCAGGUGUGUUGUACAAUUCCAUACAGAAUCACCAGUGCCAUGAGAGCUGCACCCAGCACACCAUACUGGAUGGAUGAGUGAAAAUGCACAGGACCUGCAGGACAUCCAUUGCCACAGAAAGGCAGGCAGUGCCUGUCAGAUACAGACCAUUUCACAGCCUAUUUAAGAAAUC
rnacentral:lncRNA from 12 species